CAAGGUGGACGAGGAGGACGAGGAUUUGUGCUCGGUAUAACCCGAGGUAGUUCGCGGUGGUUCCGGGUGAUCGAGGUGAGCGAGGAAGAGGACGAGGAUGACGAGGACUUGUACACUUUCUGUGCCCCACCUAGUGAUCCACUAGUAC